rnacentral:rRNA from 1 species
AACGAACGCUGGCGGCGUGCUUAACACAUGCAAGUCGAACGCACCGCAAGGUGAGUGGCGCACGGGUGAGUAACGCGUGGGAAUCUACCUUUUGAUUCGGAAUAACAUCGGGAAACUGGUGCUAAUACCGGAUAAGCCCUUCGGGGGAAAGAUUUAUCGUCAAAAGAUGAGCCCGCGUUGGAUUAGCUAGUUGGUGAGGUAACGGCUCACCAAGGCGACGAUCCAUAGCUGGUCUGAGAGGAUGAUCAGCCACACUGGGACUGAGACACGGCCCAGACUCCUACGGGAAGCAGCAGUGGGGAAUAUUGGACAAUGGGGGCAACCCUGAUCCAGCAGCGCCGCGUGAGUGAUGAAGGUCUUCGGAUUGUAAAGCUCUUUUGGCAGGGACGAUGAUGACGGUACCUGCAGAAUAAGCUCCGGCUAACUUCGUGCCAGCAGCCGCCGUAA